UGGGGAAUAUUGGACAAUGGGGGCAACCCUGAUCCAGCAAUUCCGCGUGUGUGAAGAAGGCCUGCGGGUUGUAAAGCACUUUCAGUAGCCAAGAUGGGAUUAUUCGCUAAUAUCGGAUAGUCUUGACAUUAACUACAGAAGAAGCACCGGCUAACUCCGUGCCAGCAGCCGCGGUAAUACGGAGGGUGCAAGCGUUAAUCGGAAUUACUGGGCGUAAAGAGUACGUAGGCGGCUUUGCAAGUCGGGUGUGAAAGCCCUGAGCUUAACUCAGGAACUGCAUUCGAUACUGCAUCGCUAGAGUUUAUUAGAGGAUAGCGGAAUUCCAGGUGUAGCGGUGAAAUGCGUAGAUAUCUGGAGGAACACCAAUGGCGAAGGCAGCUAUCUGGGAUACAACUGACGCUGAGGUACGAAAGCGUGGGGAGCAAACAGG
rnacentral:rRNA from 1 species